rnacentral:misc_RNA from 1 species
CAACUGUUCGCACAGUCGACGCUGACUGAUUUAUCGCUCGCGUUCUCCUCGAUGUUUUGACGUGCAAAAUUUGCUUUUCGUACACACAUAGCAAUUACUAAUUCAAGAAAUUUUUGAGACACUAAAUAAUCGAUAUGAUUUAUCGAUUUGAUGGUUUUUAUCCAAACAGAAACCGAUUGUUGCAUUUAAUUGUGAGAAAAGACAAACAUGCUUGUUUGUUAUUAUCGACUUGUAUAAGGGAUGCAGCGUGUUGCACGUUAUGGUAUAAUUAGCACGCGACGUUGUACAUAUUCUAAUGUGUAUAAUGUGCUUCUUGGAGUGUGGAAUUGAGACUUAUCUGAAAAAAUCUAGAAGCGAUAGAAACGUAGAGACAGAUCGUGGUAUACCCUCGUUAAACUUCGUGGUCAAGUUUGAACGGUGUUGAUCUUCUCCAUGCAAGCUGGUCAUCUCUACAGCCUGUGCCAGGCACAUUGUCGACAUGUCGUUACUCGGCUCCUGGUCACCAUGUGGAUUUUAUGCGAUUUUACUCACAAUUACUACACAGUACUCCAGAAAUCUGUGGUUUUUGUGGUCGAUCUUUAGGACUAGACCAAUCACUUGUUCACAUAAUUAAUUUGAUUACAAUUUAUAUUCUUGCAUUUCGGUAUUAUUUUUAUUUGAUUUAUUA